CUGCAGCUUAUUAAGCCAACUGUCCCCGGCUCCCCGUGGGGGCCCAGUGUGCAGUGGCUACGGACAGCAGCCUCCUCAGUAGUGUAUGCAACUUGUUGCUUGUAUGGGUCGCCUUAGGGGACCUUAGAGACAGCC